rnacentral:lncRNA from 13 species
AUUGGAUCCAGUAUAGUAUUGGAUCCAGUAUAAUCCAGUAUAGUAUUGGAUCCAGUAUAAUCCAGUAUAGUAUUGGAUCCAGUAUAAUCCAGUAUAGUAUUGGAUCCAGUAUAAUCCAGUAUAGUUUUGGAUCCAGUAUAAUCCAGUAUAGUAUUGGAUCCAGUAUAAUACAGUAUUGGAUCCAGUAUAAUACAGUAUUGGAUCCAGUAUGAUACAGUUUAGUAUUGGAUCCAGUAUAGUAUUGGAUCCAGUAUAAUACAGUAUAGUAUUGGAUCCAGUAUAAUACAGUAUAGUAUUGGAUCCAGUAUAAUACAGUAUAGGAUCCAGUAUAAUACAGUAUUGGAUCCAGUAUAAUACAGUAUAGUAUAGGAUCCGGUAUAAUACAGUAUUGGAUCCAGUAUAAUACAGUAUUGGAUCCAGUAUAAUACAGUAUAGGAUCCAGUAUAAUACAGUAUUGGAUCCAGUUUGAUCUGAUACAUAACCCCCACCCCCUCAGGCCAGAGCUCCAGUGGACCCACCUGGUAGAGAAGAGGCCCACAGGGGGGACUCACUGGCAGGCCAAAACCACCUGCACCACCCCCAACUGGAGCCACCACACACUCAUGGCUCCUCAAGCUAUGCCCAUACCACAGCUGGCUCCAGCACCAGUCGCUUUUCCCAUGACAACACAGCAACUGCCUGUUUAUGGAAUGGUAAGGAAUGAUCUGCACCAUGGUACAGUACCCAGGCCUAACAAUAAGGGGGAUCUGCACCAUGGUACAGUACCCAGGCCUAACAAUAAGGAAUGAUCUGUACCAUGGUACAGUACCCAGGCCUAACAAUAAGGGGGAUCUGUACCAUGGUACAGCACCCAGACCUAACAAUAAGGAAUGAUCUACACCAUGGUACAGUACC